rnacentral:rRNA from 1 species
UGAGGGAAUAUUUGGGGUCAAUGGACGAAAGUCUGAACCAGCCAUGCCGCGUGAAGGAAUAAGGCCCUAUGGGUCGUAAACUUCUUUUGUAUGUGAGCAAUAAGGUCCACGUGUGGACCGAUGAGAGUAGCAUACGAAUAAGCAUCGGCUAACUCCGUGCCAGCAGCCGCGGUAAUACGGAGGAUGCAAACGUUAUCCGGAUUCAUUGGGUUUAAAGGGUGCGUAGGCGGCUUGGUAAGUCAGCGGUGAAAUUCCAGUGCUCAACAUUGGCCGUGCCGUUGAUACUGCUGGGCUUGAAUGCGGAUGCCGUGGGAGGAAUGUGUGGUGUAGCGGUGAAAUGCAUAGAUAUCACACAGAACUCCGAUUGCGAAGGCAUCUCACGAAGGGGCGAUUGACGCUGAGGCACGAAA